AUAUUCAAAUGCCUUUCUUGGUGAAACAGCAGGCUUCCAACCCCCCAAAUAUUAUGACUUGAGUUAAAUAUAACCCAGAGCAUGAAAAUAACGGCACAACACGGGGCUUGGAGAAGCCAUGGAGGGAGUGGCUCACGCGCAGUCACACUCUCUGUCCCCCUGGGUGUGGCGGGCCGGCCACAGAACCCCUGGCCACUCGGGCAGAGAGCCCACAAACACACGCAGACACCUCGACGCAUUCCGGGCUGAAGUUGUUGAUACCUCUUGAAAAAUGUCAAGGAAGCAGUUACACCAACAAGGUGGGAUUUCGGCAAUGAGGCUGAGGUCUGGGCUGAAGACAUCCAUUUGGAAAGUCGCUAAAGCCGUGGGAAUGGGAUCCCUCACAUACGGGAGAGGAGCAGAGAAUUCUGAACUCAUCUUUCCUGAGGGGGUGCUCCCGGUGAGCCAGCUCCCCAAGUCUGAGAACCACAGCUCAUCCGAAGCUUGGAAUUCGACUGUCCCAACAGCGAGGAGCCUUGGGUGACAAGACGUUAGCUGCAGGCAGAGAGGCUGGGAAGACCUCACAUCAGCGAGGUGGGAAGAACCAGAUGGGCCCCGCCUGCCGGGGUACUGGUGGUGGGCGCGGAACAGGCAGAAGCAGUAGUUGGGUCAUUACCCGAGGUCUUGGCCAGGCCUCCAGCUCUUCGUGACUCAAGCGUAUCCAGGGAUCUGGGGAGAAUCGUUGGCCUUUGUCCUCAGGCCGUGUGUAGGGACUCUGUUAACAUUUCUGUAAGUGGAAGCUCCUUACAGGCGCUGUUUAUGUACCAGAAAGCCAUAACAGGAUUGAAUCUUAAUGAGCUGCCUGUGAAGGCCAACAUCCGAGCUUGGGUGACGUCCAAGGGCUGCUUCUCUGGGCCUCAGUUUCCUGGGCCAAGCAAAGAAAGAAUGAUGGGAGACGAUCCACAUCGAUAUGGUCGUCACUGGUGCCAUGUGGCCAUUCGAAUUCGAAUGAACUGAAAUUAAAUUAAAUUAAAAAUUCAGCUCCUCCGUCACAUGAGCCACGUUUCCAAUGCUCCAUAACCACACAUGGCUGGGGCUGCUGUGUCAGAGAACGUGGAUGUGGAACAUCUCCGGAACAUCUCCUUCACUGUAGACGUUACUGUUGGACAGCAUUCAUCUCUAAGGCGGCUUCCUCUCGGGCCAUCGCGUGAACUCUGUGAUCUGCUGUUAUCAAGAGACCUGCAGAAUUGCGAUACACAGUGCGUGGGCCCACAGGCACGGAGCACACACACAUCACUCUCUUCCGUCAGGACAGCGUCAAGAAAGCGGGUGGCUUGGCUCAAGAACAGCUGCCUAACCGGGCGUUGCUUCUGACUUCUCAUGAAACGUUAGGGACUUCUUGUGACUAUGUAUUGUAUACACAUUUCCUGCAUGCCCACUACGUGCUAGGCAUUGUUCAGAGCACAAGUGGAGUACAGAGUUUGGGGAGGAUCCAUUCGUAUAUACAGUUCCUUUGCCGUGAGAGGAGGCACCAUCACUGUGAGCAUCCGCAAGCCCCUCUGGUGCCUACUUGCUCGAUGGGCACAGAGAGCUCUGCAGAGGUGGCCUUGCCCUUGAAGGGCUGGCAUUGCCCAAUCGACUCUCUGACUGGAUAAGUACUUGAUAGGAAGGCUGCAAAGAGGUAAUGGUUGUGUUAUGUGGUAAGUACUCAGCUAGAAGCAUGGACAGUGUGUCGUGGGGGCAUAGGAGAGGAAGACACUCUUUUCUGGGCCUCAGUUUCCCCGAGUGAAUGGAAGGGGAGGGCCCCUUGACCUCCGAGGCUUCCUCAUCGCUAAGACAUCCUCUUUUGGGAGUCCCACUGUCUGAGCGCUCUUUAGAGGACAAGGCUUUCUCCGUGCCAAUUUCGGGUUGCACAGGCUUUUCUGUAUCUCCCCACGGCGCUGCCCUUUACUUUUUUUAAAUCCUGAGGAGGCCUGGAGGCACCUUCCCUCCCCGGUACCCCUCCCUCCUCCCAGGUUGCACAACCCCAGCCUACUUCUUGUCAUAUUUCCUACUGGAUCGGGUGUUUAAUUAAAAUCAUAAUUAAAAUUGAUCUCCUCAUUAACAUGCACCUGCUCUGCCUCUCACAUCCUUGCGUUCCAUUAUCCACUGAAGAUGUCAGGACUGACAGGCGAGUGCCAGACCCCAGGCCAGCCCUGCCUGAUGGGGUUGGCCGAUGACAACAUCUGGACAGAGAGGACUUUGGUGGGGAAGCUGCAUCUGCAGCAGAUCAACACACAAUUAGCACCAGGUGGGCCCUCUGGGGAGAGGCCGGGCUGUGUGAUGGCCUGCAGGCAGCUGGCUAGAUCGAGCAGUCCUCCGGGAAGGACACCGCCCAUGUGCACUUUCCUAGGCCCCCACCCACGUGCACGCACCCACCUGUGCCCCUGCAAGGGUGAUCUGUGAUGAGCCAACAAACCCUUACCUGGGAGAAUCUGGGGGUUGAAAGCAGAGGGGGUCCCUCACUUCCCUGGGCUGAGACCUGACCGUGACUGCCAGGAGCCUCUAGCAGGGCUGAAUUCCGGCUGCUGUCGGGGCUUGGGAUGUCUCUGGCACCUACAGAACCUGGCAUAGAGUAUGUACUCGCUUUACUUACUGAACACUUGUUCAAUGAAUACCUUUCAGUCCCAGAAAUCACUAAAUGAAAUAAGAUUCUUCCACAAGGGGGGUGUGGAUAGGGAUGUGAUGUGAAACGUGAUAUCCCGUGUGCCAUACCUUUUAGCAGAUCCUGUUGGAGUUCUUUAUUAGAAGGCUAGGUCAGGGGCGCCUGGGUCGUUCAGUCAGUUAAGCAU